rnacentral:rRNA from 1 species
AGUGAACGCUGGCGGCGUGCUUAACACAUGCAAGUCGAACGAGAACCGGUUAUAGCUUGCUAUAAUUGUCAGCUAAGUGGCGCACGGGUGAGUAAUGUAUAGGUAAUAUGCCUCUUACUAAGGGAUAACAAAUGGAAACGUUUGCUAAUACCUUAUACUCCUUAUUACCAGAAGUUAAUAAGGGAAAGAUUUAUUGGUAAGAGAUUAGCCUGUAUUGUAUCAGUUAGUUGGUGGGGUAAUGGCUUACCAAGACUAUGACACAUAACUGGUUUGAGAGGAUGAUCAGUCACACUGGAACUGAGACACGGUCCAGACUCCUACGGGAGGCAGCAGUGGGGAAUAUUGCACAAUGGACGAAAGUCUGAUGCAGCAACGCCGCGUGGAGGAUGACACAUUUCGGUGCGUAAACUCCUUUUAUAUGAGAAGAUAAUGACGGUAUUAUAUGAAUAAGCACCGGCUAACUCCGUGCCAGCCGCCGCCGUAA